rnacentral:rRNA from 1 species
UUCCGUAGGUGAACCUGCGGAAGGAUCAUUGUCGAAACCC